rnacentral:lncRNA from 1 species
GUGAAGCGGGCAACUGCCCAAACCCAUUUGAGGUACAAGAUUAGUUUUAGGGUUCUGCAAAUCCUUAACUAGGGGUGGGCAAAAUAUCCGACCCGACCCGAUCCGAUCCGACCCGACCCGAAAAAUUUCGGAUUCGGAUCGGAUCGGGUUAUAAAGGAAACCCGAUCGGAUGAAGAUGGUGAAACCCGAUCGGGUUGUGAUCGGAUCGGGUCAAAUCCGAUCCGAUCCGCAAACCCGAUCGGGUUGCUUUAAAAACAAAAAAACCUAAAUCUAAACACACACGCCACACACAAACAACCUAAAAAAACCUAAAUCUUUCUCUUCACUCUCUUCUUUCUCUUCUUUCUCACUCUCCGUGUUCUUUCUCUUCACUCUCUUCUUUCUCUUCUUUCUCACAACUCACACAAACAACUCUCUUUUUUCUCUUCACUGUCUUCUUUAUCUUCUUUCUCGCAACAAAACUACAGACGGUUAGCACAGCAGCGGGCCACAUGCAGCACACCACUCGACCAGAUCUGCUGCACUGACGACAGGAUCUGCUUGCUGCUGCAUCGACGGUUGCUGCACUUCACUUCGAUCGGAUCUGCUUUUCUGGUAGCCACCGACAAAACCCGUGAAGCCAUGAGCCAUUGACGAAACCCGUUGCCGCUUGAUCCAUCGGCUGCUGCUUGACUCGCGCGAAGCGAUCCAUGGUUGUUCUUCUAACGAGACCGAGACUGAGAUUCAUGACACCAAGUCCUCCAAGCUCACAACUUUUUCAAUUCUAUUUCAGUUUAUUUUUUUUUUAUGACAGUCACUGGAAAGUGGAAAUGGACUAAAAUGAACUAAUUGCAUAAAAGUGAUCUUGUAAUUAUUAAAUAAUUAUUAAACAAUCCAAAAUUAACACAAAUGACUCUUUUUUGUCCUUAACCCGAAUUGACCCGAAAUUGAUCCGAAUUUUAGAUCCGAUCCGACCCGACCCGAAUAUAACCCGAUCCGAUCCGAUCCGAUCUAAAAUUCGGGUUGAGUUCGGAUGAGUUUCUCUCCAACCCGAUGAACCCGAAAUCCGAUCGGGUUGAUCCGAACCCGAUUUUGCCCACCCCUAUCCUUAACCGUAUUUGGCCUGACGUGAGCGAUUUCCCUAAAGCAACCACCAGUUUUAUAAUUGUGUGUGACUACAGCUGCAGCAGCGACGCCGGAUUAAAUUUUCAAAGAUGAUUGUGGUGACUUGUGGAUUUGUUGUGGUCGUAUUGAAGAAAUGGAAAGGAUUGUGUAAACCAUCAUUAAGGUUAGUGAAAUUUUAAUGUGAGAUUUGUGACGUGAAUCAUUUGUAGCUAAUAAUAUAGUUGGUGCGAAAUUAGAUUUCACAUGGAUAAUGGGAAGAUAUGAGAGUGCAGGGGGUAAAUUUUUAAAUUAAAUUUCUGGAAAUUUUAUGAACAAUGUAGUAAUAUAAAGGAGUUUUUUACUAUUAUUUUUAUGUUAAUAAACACGUGUAUUGAAAUUGUAAGAGAGAGGGAUUUCGGCAACAGAAAUUCAGGCUAGUGGCAGCUGAACCUGGAAUAAUUGAGUUGAAUAUUGUUGCUGCAAAUAAUGUGGUGGGAAGUCAGAUUUCCUAUAGAGAAGUAGAAAAUAGUGGAGUAAAGGGGAAAAAAAUAUUGAAAAUGAUUUAGGGAUUAUACUCUAGCAGCUGAACACGGCCCAUUUAAAGCUGUAUGAUUGAUGAGAAACUUGUGGUUUGCUCUGUGUGUUUGCCAUAUUUCCUUUUCUUUAUCUUCAGGCUAACUAUGCCUUCGGCUGCAACUUUGGAGAAGCAUCUGCCAUAUUUCCUUUUCUUUAUCUUCAGGCUGACUAUGCCUUCGGCUGCAACUUUGUAGAAGCAUCUACAAAGUGACAAGUCAGAUGUGAAUCACACAGAAUUUUUGAAAAUGAUAUCAUAAUUUCUUGUGCUUGUAUAAUAACAAUGGGACUAAUUAGUUUAGAUGUUUUGUAUGUUUUUAAGUUAAUGUAAUAAAAAUUGAAUGUAUGUCUGGCGAUUCAACAGUAAGGGGGAAGUUAGUAAGUUGUACGAUGAACAUGUGUGGAAAGUACAAACAGGAAAAGUGAAAUUGCAGCAAGUAAUAAAAUGAAGUUAAGUGCAAGCAUUUAGAUGGUGAUACAGGGGAAAUGGUACAUGUUUACAGCUCGUUGUACAUAUGUUUCAUUGACUGUAUGCUAAUCUGACAAGCAUUUAACUGUAUGUUAAUGUAACAAAUAGCUGAUCAGUUAACAAUUGCCCAUGUCAUAACAGUUUCACUACAAUCCAUAUUUGGCCGAAACUCUUAUUGCUGGACAUGACUUCUUGCAAGUACUAUCAAGCAUCACUGAUGACGACUCCAUAAGUAAGUUUGUCACACAAUAAUUCAUAAUUGCAUUUUCACUUACUCUUUUUGCUAUUUGAAAUUGCAGGCUUGUAAAGGUGACUGUGUCCCAACAUGCAUGAUCCCUAAUGUUGCCAUGUGCUCGCCCUUCCACAUCUGUCCAUGUUAUCUUUCUUCCUAUGAUUAAAGCCGAAGCUUAUCUAUUACUUACAUUCAAACCAAUGCUGUCAAAGGAACUCCACCAACUAGGAUACUUAUACACAUUCUAUAUGCUCUAUAUUUACUGUUAUUUCACAAUAUAACCUACUUCAACUGUGUUUUGAUAAGCAUUCAUUGCUUUAUGGGACUUGUUUCAAUGUUAUGGAUGUAUGACAAUUAUGUGUUUUGAACUCCUGUUGUAUAUUUCUUAUGUCGACAUUGCAGCUUGGAUUUUUGAAUCCACCUUUAUACAUAUGCAGUUCCAGUAUCUUCUCACUGUUACAGUUGUGUUUGCCGUAUAUUAAUUAAACCUGCUUGUCCAUCUCUUCCCUUGCAUUUACUUCUGCAUCACCAUUUACUUC